rnacentral:rRNA from 1 species
GUAGGGGGCAAGCGUUGUCCGGAAUCAUUGGGCGUAAAGCGCGUGUAGGCGGCUGGCUAAGUCCGCUCUGAAAGCCCGGGGCUCAACCCCGGGAGGCGGGUGGAUACUGGUCAGCUCGAGUCCGGAAGAGGAGUGUGGAAUUCCUGGUGUAGCGGUGAAAUGCGCAGAUAUCAGGAGGAACACCAAUGGCGAAGGCAGCACUCUGGGACGGUACUGACGCUGAGACGCGAAAGCGUGGGGAGCAAACAGGAUUAGAUACCCUGGUAGUCCACGCCGUAAACGAUGGGCACUAGGUGUGGGGGGUGUCGACUCCCUCCGUGCCGAAGCUAACGCAUUAAGUGCCCCGCCUGGGGAGUACGGCCGCAAGGCUA